CUGCAGGAUAAGUUACAAAACGGCUGCUCUGUGUCGUUCUGUCGUUCCCCCUGCGCAAAUUGACUUGUUUCCUACUAUCCCUGUCUGUCUGCACACCCCGGCAGGCAGGGACGCUUGGUUUCAGACAG